UUCGAAUAGGUAUAAAGAAUGAUGAUCUUUAUACUGAAUAGUCCAGUCUCAUCUCCGUGCCAGCAGUCGCGGUAAUACGGAAUCGGGCGACCCAUCGGAGUUAUAAAUAGGUGUACAGGGUACGUAGCUUGUGAUAAUAAUUUCACUAGAAUAAUAUUGAGGUAGAACCAACACUUAGAGGAGGGCUAAUAUUCUUUGAUACUAAGGGGUGUACUAAAGGCGUAAGCAUUCUACCAAAUAUAUAUUGACUGUAAGGUACGAAAGCAAGAGCAUGGAACCGGAUUCGAUACCCGGAUACUUCUUGCCGUAAACGAUGCAGACUAUGAGAUCAGUAGAUAAACUAUUGGUUUUCGUUGCUAACGCUAGAGUCUGCCACCUGCAUAGUACAGUCGAAAGACCGAAACGUCAAUGAUUAGACCGUUCUCAGGCACAUGGAGUGAAGUAUGCCGUUUAAUACGAUAGCCCGCGUAAAAUCUUACCACUUCUUGCAUCUUUUCUAAAUUAGUAGAUCUGACAGGUGUUGCAUGGCUGUCGUCAGUUAGUGUUCGUGAGACCUAUGGUUGAUUCCGUAUAACUAACGCAAACCUCGCUAUGAAUAUAUA
rnacentral:rRNA from 1 species